rnacentral:rRNA from 1 species
ACGUAGGAGGCGAGCGUUAUCCGGAUUUACUGGGUGUAAAGCGCGUGUAGGCGGUCGUGUAAGUCGUGUGUGAAAGCGCCCAGGCUCAACCGGGCGAGGACAUGCGAAACUGCGCGGCUAGAGGUAGGUAGAGGCGUGUGGAAUUCCGGGUGUAGUGGUGAAAUGCGUAGAGAUCCGGAGGAACACCAGUGGCGAAGGCGGCACGCUGGGCCUGACCUGACGCUCAGACGCGAAAGCAUGGGGAGCGAAC